rnacentral:rRNA from 1 species
UGCAAGUCGAACGCAGUAGCAAUACUGAGUGGCAGACGGGUGAGUAACAUGUGGGAAUCUGCCUUGUGGUUCAGGACAACAUUGGGAAACCGAUGCUAAUACUGGAUAAGCCCUUACGGGGAAAGUUUUAAUGCCAUAAGAUGAGCCCGCAUUUGAUUAGUUAGUUGGUGAGGUAAUGGCUCACCAAGACAAUGAUCAAUAGUUGAUCUGAGAGGAUGAUCAGCCACACUGGGACUGAGACACGGCCCAGACUCCUACGGGAGGCAGCAGUGGGGAAUCUUGCACAAUGGAGGAAACUCUGAUGCAGCGAUGCCGCGUGAGUGAAGAAGGCCUUUGGGUUGUAAAGCUCUUUUGUAAGGGAAGAUAAUGACUGUACCCUAAGAAUAAGGUCCGGCUAACUUCGUGCCAGCAGCGGGGGGGAUACGAAGGGACCUAGCGUAGUUCGGAAUUACUGGGCGUAAAGCGCGCGUAGGCCGUUGAGUUAGUUAAUUGUGAAAUCCCAAAGCUUAACUUUGGAACUGCAAUUAAAACUGCUCGACUAGAGUUUGAUAGAGGAAAGCGGAAUACAUAGUGUAGAGGUGAAAUUCGUAGAUAUUAUGUAGAACACCAGUUGCGAAGGCGGCUUUCUGGAUCAACACUGACGCUGAGGCGCGAAAGUAUGGGUAGCAAAGAGGAUUAGAUACCCUCGUAGUCCAUACCA